rnacentral:tRNA from 1 species
GGAGGUGUAGUUCAACGGCAGAACAUCGGCCUUCAGAUCCGAUUAUGUGGGUUCGACUCCUGCCGCCUCUGCCA